rnacentral:tRNA from 1 species
GGUAAAAUGGCUGAGAAUUAGGCAGUAAACUGUAAAUUUAUUUAGGAAAUAUUAUUUCUUUUACCA